UCCUCAUUACUCUUUGAAUGCGUUCAGUUAUUCCCCUGAUGUAUGGUAAUGUAACUACUCCCCUGUGUUCUUGUUUGUUAGUUUGUUUUUUCUCUUUCUUCUGUGUUUUGUUGUUCUUAACCUGUUCCACCCCUUUGGAUAUUGCCCAUUGUGGAUAUUGACAUGCCUUCAGUGCGUGUUGUAUAUGUUGUUCCUCCUGUUCUUUGUCCUGUGGAUCUGUAAUUAUUGCUGUGCGUUCAUGUAAUGUUCUAACUACGGAUAUUUUGUGCAUUAUGGGGUGUUCGGAAGUCCAGUUUAAAUAUUGGUCGGUAUGUGUGGGUUUUCUGUGUACUUUUAUUUUGAUGUCCCCAUCUUCUGUGUGUUGUAUUUUUAAAUCCAAAAAUGCUAUUGACUGCUCCGUUUCUUCUUCAUGUGUGAAUUUUAUAUUGCCGGUAUUGUCUAUGGUGUUGAGAUGGUCGGUGAGCUGUUGAGUGUGUCCCCUCUUUACUUUUUCCAAUAUGUCGUCCACAUACCGUUUCCAGAGUGUUGGUCUGUAUUCCGCUGGUAUUGUAGUGAGUGCUUUCUGCUCCAGAUCCUCCAUGAAAAAGCCGCACAUGAUGGCUGAUAGUGGGUCUCCCAUGGCAAAACCUUCCUUCUGUCUGUAGAUUGUAUUCCUGAACUGAAAGUAUGUGGAUGUGGCGAUGAAUUGAAGGAGCUGAGUGAUGUCUUGUACGGUGAGGUUUGUGCGUUUCUUGAGCGUCCUGUCUGUUUUUAAUUUGUCUUGUACUAUCUGUAUGGUGGCUUCCGUGGGUGUUCUGGUGAAAAGAGAUAUGACAUCAUGUGAAAUGAAAACUUCAUCUUGCUGCAUUUUGAUGUUUUUUAGUUCUUCUGCCAGUUGUUUUGAGUUUUUGCAGUGUUGGUCUGUGAGUCCUAGUAAUGGUUUAAUUAUUUCGGUGAGUGCUUUUGAUAAGUUGUAUGUGACUGAACCAAUGCUAUCUACUAUGGGGCGUAAUGGUGUUCCUGGUUUGUGUAUUUUUGGUGUACCGUAAAUCCUGGGGAUGACAUUGGCUGUGGGUACUAAAUGAUUGUAAUCCUGCUUAUCUAUUUUAUUUUCAUCGAGUAGUGGUUUUAGUAGUGCUUUAAGUUUCUUUUUCUUGUCUUCUGUUGGGUCUUUUUUUAAUAUUUCAAAUGCGUUGUCGCUGAGUAAUUCAUUCAUUUUUUGUUCAUAUUCAUCAGUGUCCAUAAUAACUGUUGUUCUGCCUUUAUCUGCUGGGAGGAUUGUGAUAUCUUUAUUUUUAGCUAAUGUUCUCAUGGCUUUGGCUUCCUGUUUUGUGAUGUUACUGGGUGGUGGUUUGGCCGUUUUCAAUAUACCAGCUAUUGCGUUUCUUAGUGCUGCUUUUUGUCCGUGAUCCUGUAUUUUCUCACAUGCUAAUUCAGUUGCCAGAAUGAAUUCGUCGUGUGGUAUAUGGUUCGGUGUGACAGCGUAGUUGAGUCCUUUUGCUAGUAUAUUGCGUUCUGCUUGUGAGAGUUUGUACCUUGAUAUGUUAUGAAUCCAUUUGUCGUUGAUGUGUGCGUGCUCCGGUUCUGCCUUCUUUUUCUGUGCGAUGAGUUUGUCCAGUUUUCGUAUUUGUCGGGUUUUUGUCUCUGUGAAUUCCUGUUCGUGUAUGUCUGCCAAGUGUCCGUGUAUUGCUAUUUCCAUUUCCUUGUUCUGGGGAAACCGGCGUUUGAAAGUUUCCGUCUCUCUGUGUAGUUCGCUGUUGAUAUUAUUUAGUUUAUCCGUUGUGCACCGUAUCCGUUCUUUUACCAGAGUCAUCCGCACUUUCCUGAUCAUCUUUUCCGCGUUUCUGGUUGGAAUCGGGUUCUUGAUGUUCAGGCUGGCCGGUACGACUUCCUCAUCCCGGCAGCGCAGGCUGAAUCUCAGGUGAUUCCUGUAGCGUGCCCGUUUCCGUGUCAAUCGCUCUAGGCGGCGAAACUCCUUGAUGCUUUCGUCUCCGUAACUAAUUCUUAAUCUUUCGAUUACGUUCAUUAUGUCUUAUAUUAAAUAUAGUUCAUUUUUUUUCCUUUUUUUUUCAGACAUCUAAUUUUUGGGUUUGUUUACCUGACAUGUUUCGACGUACAACUUCCGUCUUCCUCUUUUCACCAGAACACCCACGGAAGCCACCAUACAGAUAGUACAAGACAAAUUAAAAACAGACAGGACGCUCAAGAAACGCACAAACCUCACCGUACAAGACAUCACUCAGCUCCUUCAAUUCAUCGCCACAUCCACAUACUUUCAGUUCAGGAAUACAAUCUACAGACAGAAGGAAGGUUUUGCCAUGGGAGACCCACUAUCAGCCAUCAUGUGCGGCUUUUUCAUGGAGGAUCUGGAGCAGAAAGCACUCACUACAAUACCAGCGGAAUACAGACCAACACUCUGGAAACGGUAUGUGGACGACAUAUUGGAAAAAGUAAAGAGGGGACACACUCAACAGCUCACCGACCAUCUCAACACCAUAGACAAUACCGGCAAUAUAAAAUUCACACAUGAAGAAGAAACGGAGCAGUCAAUAGCAUUUUUGGAUUUAAAAAUACAACACACAGAAGAUGGGGACAUCAAAAUAAAAGUACACAGAAAACCCACACAUACCGACCAAUAUUUAAACUGGACUUCCGAACACCCCAUAAUGCACAAAAUAUCCGUAGUUAGAACAUUACAUGAACGCACAGCAAUAAUUACAGAUCCACAGGACAAAGAACAGGAGGAACAACAUAUACAACACGCACUGAAGGCAUGUCAAUAUCCACAAUGGGCAAUAUCCAAAGGGGUGGAACAGGUUAAGAACAACAAAACACAGAAGAAAGAGAAAAAACAAACUAACAAACAAGAACACAGGGGAGUAGUUACAUUACCAUACAUCAGGGGAAUAACUGAACGCAUUCAAAGAGUAAUGAGGAAACACAACAUUAACACACCUGUCAAACCACACACAACACUCCGUCAGAUCCUGGUUCAUCCCAAAGACAGAAUACAUCCGGACAACAGAUGCAACACCAUAUAUGAGAUUCCAUGAAAAUUAUGCAAUAAAACUUAUAUUGGGGAGACAGGAAAGAGUUUCAACACAAGAAAACAUGAACAUAAGAAAGAGUGCGAAAAGGAGACAGCUACAAGACAAACCCGAACAAUAAAAGAAAAGGCACAACAGGAAAAUUAUAAGUCAGCUAUAACAGAUCACUGUAAAAGGGAGAACCACAUUAUGGACUGGGGGAAUGCCAGAGUCAUCCGCACAGAAGAUAACAAACAUCAGCGCUGGAUCAGGGAGGCCAUAGAGAUCCGUAAGCGAAGCCCGAGGACCAUCAACCGGGAUGAGGGAGCAUACAUGCUCUCCCAUACCUGGAGUGACAUCUUGCAGGGGACGAACAGACAGUAUAAGGCAUGACCGACCUGUCAAACCAGACAGGAAGGCCACGCCUUCAGAAACAGCAGCUGAUAAAAGAUGCGUCACCAAUUAACAUCCGGUGACACUCUGAGGAAGACGGAAGUUGUACGUCGAAACAUGUCAGGUAAACAAACCCAAAAAUUAGAUGUCGGAAAAAAGAAAAAAAAAAAUUAACUAUAAGUAAGUGUAUAACUGGUCGUUUUGCCGUGUUUUAAAAUCGGUGCGUUAGCCUAGCAAUGGCUACAUUAGCUGUGCAGCUAACCGCUUCCUGCAGUUAGCCAGGUACAUGGGCUCAAGUUGUACCAUUUUUUUAGACAGGGCGGACGGACCAGGGCAUUCGCCCGCCUGGCCGUGCCCGACGAGGAGCGCUCUCGGCCGGCUUGGGAGGCAGACGGCAGCCCCUCCUGGAAGUGCAGUUUUACCAUGGGCCUCAUGCGGAAUAAAAUGACAAAGUCCCACUGCUCAGUUUUACCAUGGGCCUCAGGCAGGAAAAAAAUGACAAAGUCCCAGUUUUACCAUGGGCUUGAGUUGUACCAUUUUUUUUAGACAGGGCGGACGGACCAGGGCAUUCGCCCGCCUGGCCGUGCCCGACGAGGAGCACUCUCGGCCGGCUUGGGAGGCAGACGGCAGCCCCUCCCCCCCAUGGCACGCCCCCACCGUCUACCCUUCCCCGCCUCCUGCUUCUCAUUAGCAAAACGACGCACUGGGAAAAGCGCUGAAAUGGGGCUUUCUCCCAGGAGGCUAUAUCUAUGUACCGAGGGUUCAUUUCGAGAAAGGCUGCGGAUAUAACAUCUGGAAACCUCCACGAGCCCGUUUAAAGCAUCAACAAACCACCAUGCCAUGGGCCCUUUAAUGUCACUCAACAGUCAGGCUGUGAUGAAUUUCCGAUGAAGUUUUCCAAAACACCAUGACCUGGUGAAAAUGAAUGGGACCGCUAGCUUCAUGCUAAAGUUGGCUUGGUUAAGCUAACUUAAAUUCAAUUAACAUGUCAUGAUUAAAAUUUGUCCUGCAGGGAUUAUUGGUGGGACAGCAACUGAAUGCUUUGUCAUAUAUUGACCCAUAUUUGAGUUACUGUGAAACAUACGGGGGAAAAUGUAGCUUUUCAGACCUGUUGCUGCGCCUUAAUAUGUCUAAAUGAGCAGCAGCAUACCUGGCUACUCUAAUGUUAGCAGCAUGUUUAGCCAUCAUAUUUACAUUAAUGGACAGCGUGGUCAUCUUCUAGUUUAUUAUUAUUAUUAUUAUUAUUAUUAUUAUUUCCCAAAACAUUCAAAAUACAAACAAAGAGCACCAUAUAUAUACAGAUCCAAAACAUCAAAAUAGUAAAACACACACAUAGCAAUAAAGUAAAAAAUAUGAACAAGAAAGGGGUUACUUAACUAUCUUUACAUAUGUUAAUCGAGUAAAUCAAAGUCAUCCAAAAAAGAUAUAAAAUAACCAACAUCCUUAUUUUCAACUAACUUUAAAGAUUUGGCAAAAAGCUUGAGGUCAUUCUUCCAGUGUGUAACAUAAGGUUUAGUUUUAAAUAAAACGACAUUUGUGAAUAAAAUGUUUACCUAAAAGUAGUAAAUUAUUAAUACCAUAUUCAAUUUUGUUAUUAUUUAAAAACACUCCAAAUUUAAUUUCUUUAAUGGAUAAAGGGGCAAACUGAAUCCCCCUAGACUAAUAGACGGUACCUUGAUAUCUCGCGCUUUCUCACCACUCCAAGAUGGCGACCGUAUUUCUUGCGUCAGAACAGCCAACUCUCCGUCUAUGUAUUAGGAUGUCUAUGUUCUGCAGUAGUUUGUGGCUUCAUUCAUUCAUUCAUUCGCGAUGCUCAACUGGUUGAAAUCGGCAAAACUAAAUGCCGAUCGGCAACUAAACAUCGGCAAAGACUGGGAGAUGUUGAGAAAGAUUUGAGGCUGAGACUGUCUUCAAUUACCCCAAACAUCGGAGAGCUUUGUGCCAAGAUGCAGGCCCAUCCGUCGCAUUAAUACUGACUGAGCCGCCAGCGCUGCACUUCACAAUCAGAUGGAUCCUCUUCUUUAUCUGUUCCUGAUAUGCUCCUUAAUUGUUGUAUCUCUUUAAAAUGCAUAUGUUCAUAAUUAUCAUUGCGAUUUUUACUGUUAUUAUAUGUUAACUUUUUUGCAAAUUAAAUUCAUUCUCAAUUCAUUUUCAUAA